rnacentral:rRNA from 1 species
GACGAACGCUGGCGGCGUGCUUAACACAUGCAAGUCGAACGGAAAGGCCCUGCUUUUGUGGGGUGCUCGAGUGGCGAACGGGUGAGUAACACGUGAGUAACCUGCCCUUGACUUUGGGAUAACUUCAGGAAACUGGGGCUAAUACCGGAUAGGAGCUCCUGCUGCAUGGGGGGGGUUGGAAAGUUUCGGCGGUUGGGGAUGGACUCGCGGCUUAUCAGCUUGUUGGUGGGGUAGUGGCUUACCAAGGCUUUGACGGGUAGCCGGCCUGAGAGGGUGAUCGGCCACAUUGGGACUGAGAUACGGCCCAGACUCCUACGGGAGGCAGCAGUGGGGAAUAUUGCACAAUGGGCGGAAGCCUGAUGCAGCAACGCCGCGUGCGGGAUGACGGCCUUCGGGUUGUAAACCGCUUUCGCCUGUGACGAAGCGUGAGUGACGGUAAUGGGUAAAGAAGCACCGGCUAACUACGUG